AACUUUCAACAACGGAUCUCUUGGCUCUCGCAUCGAUGAAGAACGCAGCGAAAUGCGAUAAGUAAUGUGAAUUGCAGAAUUCAGUGAAUCAUCGAAUCUUUGAACGCACCUUGCGCCUCUUGGUAUUCCGAGAGGCAUGCCUGUCGAGUGUCA
rnacentral:rRNA from 1 species